rnacentral:rRNA from 1 species
GUGGGGAAUCUUGCGCAAUGGGCGAAAGCCUGACGCAGCCAUGCCGCGUGAAUGAUGAAGGUCUUAGGAUUGUAAAAUUCUUUCACCGGGGACGAUAAUGACGGUACCCGGAGAAGAAGCUCCGGCUAACUUCGUGCCAGCAGCCGCGGUAAUACGAAGGGGGCUAGCGUUGCUCGGAAUUACUGGGCGUAAAGGGCGCGUAGGCGGACAGCUUAGUCAGAGGUGAAAGCCCAGGGCUCAACCUUGGAAUUGCCUUUGAUACUGGCUGUCUUGAGUUUGGGAGAGGUGAGUGGAACUCCGAGUGUAGAGGUGAAAUUCGUAGAUAUUCGGAAGAACACCAGUGGCGAAGGCGACUCACUGGCCCAAUACUGACGCUGAGGCGCGAAAGCGUGGGGAGCAAACAGGAUUAGAAACCCGGGUAGUC